rnacentral:misc_RNA from 1 species
GAUGAAGAACGCAGCGAAAUGCGAUAAGUAAUGAGAAUUGCAGAAUUCAGUGAAUCAUCGAAUCUUUGAACGCACAUUGCGCCCAUUAGUAUUCUAGUGGGCAUGCCUGUUCGAGCGUCAUUUCAACCCUUAAGCCUAGCUUAGUAUUGGGAAUCGACUUUACUGUCGUUCCUCAAAUUCAACGGCGGAUUUAUAGCAAUCUCUGAACGUAGUAAUUUUUUUUCUCGUUUUUGAAAUACUAUAAACCUCAGCCGCUAAACCCCCAAUUUCUUAUGGUUGACCUCGGAUCAGGUAGGAAUACCCGCUGAACUUAAGCAUAUCAAUAAGCGGAGGA